rnacentral:rRNA from 1 species
GACGAACGCUGGCGGCGUGCCUAAUACAUGCAAGUUGAGCGCUGAAGGUUGGUACUUGUACCAACUGGAUGAGCAGCGAACGGGUGAGUAACGCGUGGGGAAUCUGCCUUUGAGCGGGGGACGACAUUUGGAAACGAAUGCUAAUACCGCAUAAAAACUUUAAACACAAGUUUUAAGUUUGAAAGAUGCAAUUGCAUCACUCAAAGAUGAUCCCGCGUUGUAUUAGCUAGUUGGUGAGGUAAAGGCUCACCAAGGCGAUGAUACAUAGCCGACCUGAGAGGGUGAUCGGCCACAUUGGGACUGAGACACGGCCCAAACUCCUACGGGAGGCAGCAGUAGGGAAUCUUCGGCAAUGGACGAAAGUCUGACCGAGCAACGCCGCGUGAGUGAAGAAGGGUUUCGGAUCGUAAAACUCUGUUGGUAGAGAAGAACGUUGGUGAGAGUGGAAAGCUCAUCAAGUGACGGUAACUACCCAGAAAGGGACGGCUAACUACGUG